AGGGAUGUAGCUUAGAGGUAGAGCACUUGCCUAAUAUGUGCAAGGCCCUAGGUUCAAGGCCCUAGUACCCAUG
rnacentral:tRNA from 1 species